CAUUCAAUAGGCGGAGGAAAGAAACCAACAGGGAUUGCUUUAGUAGCGGCGAGUGAAGCGGCAAAAGCUCAAAUUUGAAAUCUGGCUCUUUCAGAGUCCGAGUUGUAAUUUGAAGAAGGUAUCUUUGGGUCUGGCUCUGGUCUAUGUUUCUUGGAACAGAACGUCACAGAGGGUGAGAAUCCCGUGCGAUGAGAUGAUCCAGGCCUAUGUAAAGUUCCUUCGAAGAGUCGAGUUGUUUGGGAAUGCAGCUCUAAGUGGGUGGUAAAUUCCAUCUAAAGCUAAAUAUUGGCGAGAGACCGAUAGCGAACAAGUACAGUGAUGGAAAGAUGAAAAGAACUUUGAAAAGAGAGUGAAAAAGUACGUGAAAUUGUUGAAAGGGAAGGGCUUGAGAUCAGACUUGGUAUUUUGUAUGUUACUUCUUCGGGGGUGGCCUCUACAGUUUAUCGGGCCAGCAUCAGUUUGGGCGGUAGGAGAAUUGCGUUGGAAUGUGGCACGGCUUCGGUUGUGUGUUAUAGCCUUCGUCGAUACUGCCAGCCUAGACUGAGGACUGCGGUUUAUACACUAGGAUGUUGGCAU
rnacentral:rRNA from 1 species